rnacentral:rRNA from 1 species
UAGUCUCUCUUCGGAGCAUUGGUGACAGGUGGUGCAUGGUUGUCGUCAGCUCGUGUCGUGAGAUGUUGGGUUAAGUCCCGCAACGAGCGCAACCCUUGUCCUUAGUAGCCAGCAGUAAGAUGGGCACUCUAGGGAGACUGCCAGGGUGAACCUGGAGGAAGGUGGGGAUGACGUCAAAUCAUCAUGCCCCUUAUGACUUGGGCUACACACGUGCUACAAUGGCGUAAACAAAGGGAAGCAAGUCCGUGAGGCCAAGCAAAUCCCAAAAAUAACGUCUCAGUUCGGAUUGUAGUCUGCAACUCGACUACAUGAAGCUGGAAUCGCUAGUAAUCGCAGAUCAGAAUGCUGCGGUGAAUACGUUCCCGGGUCUUGUACACACCGA